AUCAGGUCUUAAGAGUUACAGAAUUGAUUUGAAGAUGACCUAACCCGAAAGGUACGCUACAGGUUAUAAGGAUUUCCAUUAUUUGAAUCGGACUGUGUUCAGCUUGACCGAUGAGAUCUCAAAGAAUCAAAGCCGUAAUUGAUCUGUGCACUGGGACGACGUGGCCAUUACAUACUCUGAAUUUUAGUAUCUCUAAUGCAUGAAAGCAUAUCCAGAUGAAAAACGUGGCCGCCAAGAGACUGUUACUUUGUCUUCGAUCCCUACUUUAUGGUAAGCCAUCGAAGGGACCCAUCACCUAUGGAGGCGGAGCUUCUCCCUCUUCACGACUUGAUCUCCAUGGAAGUCUUCACAUCACAGGAUACCGUUCAGUCAACUGAUUUGAAUUUGGUUUGGAGUUCUUUUACAAUUAUGUCCUCACAGUGAAAUUUGGUAGUUCAUCAGAUGGGCAUUACACUGCUAGAGGUAGGACCAAACCGAGUUCCUAAUUGAGGAUGAAGCAGAGGCCCUUCGCAAUGAUAGCCAUAUGUGGAUACCCCCUCUUUUUUCUUUCUAUAAACUUAAAAUGGGCGCAACUUUGGUUUAGUGGUCAGAAGAAGGGAAGGCAAGAUGUGGUGACUCGUGAUUAUGCUUGGAAAAGUUGGAACUAACCACUUUCGAAAACAUUCUAUUAGGGGAGGCAUUGGCAAUCCAAAACGGCCUUUUAGAAGCUCUAUCGGAAGUGUGGAAUACUUGCUCAUGGAAACAAACUGUGAAGAGUUGCGUGCGUAUGUAACCCGUGGAUCUAAUUAAUAAUAUCCCAAUUAUAGUA